rnacentral:lncRNA from 1 species
AGUCCUUGACACCUUGAAUGUCCAAAUCAAGCUAAGUUUGUAUGAGAGUUAGUUGCUAAUUAACUGAAAGCUUAAGGAAGUUGCGAUAGUGGUUACAGUAUAACCAGAAAGGUAGAUGAUAAGGGCUCAGUAGACAAAAGAAAAUAAAACCGAGAGAGGGAAAUGGUAGCAUAGUACAAAAGUGGAUUCUCCUAGGAUUGUUGGCGUAGAAAAUGAAAGGAUCCAGUCAUAAAUCAAAGACCACAGGAGACUUCUAAAAUCUGAAGAAGAUAAUGAAUGGACUAUCCAUCAGAAGGGAUGCAGCCCUCUCAGACCUUAAUAUUGGCAACUUAGAAGUUUUUUUUUAAUUAUCAUUUUCAAAAUUAUAAAAUGUGCAAUUUAAAACUAACGUUGUGGUGAAUUGCCUAAUCAGGAAUAGGAAUGCCACCACCUUGUAUCAUGUUACAGCCAUAUUUGUCCUUAGAAGCAAAGGAAGUCUAUCACUUGAUGUUAAUUUACACAAAGUUUCACAGGCUACCUAGGUGUCUCUGCUCUCUGCACUAACUAGGCCAAGUCCGAACUAUUGCAAAGGUGACAGCUUCACUUACAAGUUCCAGUCCCUUGAGUGAUGUAUGUGAUGCUUCAAUUCACAAUUGUGAGAAUUAGCUGCCUCAUAUUUAAGGAAUCCAGUUCAGGAACACAGCCUAAUUACUUAAUUACUCUAGAGAAUUACCAGAGUGCAAUGGAGAGAAUAUUCAUGUUAAUUUUCAAAAAUCAAAAAUUUUCUUUUUGAUUUAGUCAUUGCAUUUCACUUUACGUAUCUUUAUUUCUUCAUAUUUUAUUAGCUACCUAGCUCAUUCUAAAUAACAUUUAAUAGAAAAUUUUAAGUUAGCAUAGACUAAAAUCAAUUUUUCUUAAACUUAGGAGUCUUUGUAAAUUCGGAACUUAAUUUAUUUUUCAUUAUGGUUAAACUUCUAAAUAAACUUUCUUACAUAUAAAACACUAAACUAGUAUUUGUUUGUUUAUUUUUUUAUUUAUUUCAAGGUCUUGCUAUUUGGCUUGAGUUGGCCUCCAAAGUCCAUGCAGACCAGGUUGGUCUUGAAUGCUAGAUUUUCCUGCUUCAGGCUCCUAAUUUCUGGGCUGACAGACUUGCACCACUAUGCCUGACUUAAAACCCUGCCUUUAACUCAUUGGGCCAAUAAUGAAAGCAUGACACUUUUUACCUGAAAGUCUUUGGCUCUCCAUUCCUCUAACACUGCCUUCAUUCCAAUGCUCUAAUAUUUUUACGGUGUGGAAUAUGUAGAGAUGGGUAGUCCUGGUGACCUGCUAACUAUGAAAUUGGUCCUGUGCAGUAAGAAAGGGGUAACUGAAUCAGUAUGAACCUGUUUAAGUUUUUUGUUAGAUUAACUUUUCAAACAACAAAUUACUCCAAACAACUUUCUUUCCUUGAGCCACACUGCAUUAAUGAAGGACAUUCAUCAAUAACGCAGCCCAUUCUCUGUUAUAACUCUAGUUACCCAUUGGAUAACACAACUGCUAUGGAUUAGCAAUGCAUAUUAAGAAAAUUUGCUAACAGGAUCUUAUUCUCAUCCUAAUUUUUAGCAUGGGGUUUUAUUACUGAGUUAUCAUAACUCAUUGUUACUGCCAAAACAACAGCAUUAUCCCAAUGACACGUUUUUUGUAUCAAGGUUAAUUUAAAGUGAUUAGCAUAUGCGGUAGGGAUGUUGCUAUGGGGAUAAGAACUACACAUCUUCUGUGAUGGGCAGAAUAUGAUUGCUACUGCGGCCCUACUAAAAUUGGAUUAUUUGUUUUAAUGUCAUGAGGAACAAGUCACACGAUAGAGAUCAGUAUCUCUUAAAUAGCAUCCCACACUCCUCAAUCAAUCAUCUUUUCAUGUCUUCAGAAUGCUGUGCAUAUGAAAAUCACUACUUUAUUAUCCGCCUAGGAAAGUUUAUCAUGAUGUAUUUGGAUGUUCAGAAGAUUUCUUUUAAUUACUAUUGAUUCUCCCAUCUCCCAGGAGGGUAAGUAGCAGUAGUUAAAGGCAGAGUGCUUAUUCAACUUUAAUUCAUUCAUCAAACAUUCAUUGAGAGCUUGCUGUUUGGGUGUGAUAUUUUCUAUAUGCUGACAAGAAGAUGAAAUAUUGUAGGACAUAUUUCCUCCUCCUCUUCCUUUUUAUUCCUCCUCCUCGUCCCCCUUUAAGUCUUUCUCUUCUUCCUCUUUCUACGCAUCUUAUCAUCUUUUUGAAUAUAAAUUUAGAAAGGCAUGGCGAUGCUACCUCCUAUAAUAUUUCUCUUGUGUCCUCAGAAGAAAUGAUUGACUGUACUUUGUACCACAUUCAUUGAUAGAAACUUGAGAUUAGUGUACUUAGUGAUUUUUUUUUAUAAAGCUGUUAUUUUAGUAUACCAAAUGGAACACGGAAUAUCUCUGAGUCUUUGAAUAGUCCAUCAAGAAACACUUAUCCUGGAGUUUAUUUUCUAUGCAUCGGUUUCCAUAUAUGACCAUAGAAAUUGGCUGUAUGGUCCUUAGAGAUAGUGGAAUCCUCUAGUGUCAGACCAUUUCAUGCUCAAAUGGGCUCAACAACUGAAAAAUAAUUCUAGGUCUGUUGUCACUAAUCUGCAUAAAGCUCCUACUACUCUAAGAUGUCAGUUGUCUAUGUGGCAUCUUCCAGAUAUUUGAAAUAAUGCAUGAAAUACCAAAUUUCAUGUACAUAAAACUCAUUUUAUCCACAGAUCAUGUGCCCUUCCCUCUUUGUCAUUUUAUAAUAUUCUCCUCAUAAUCUUAAGCAGUUGAAAAUGCCUGUCAACUUUUCACAUAUUUAGUAUAAAUAAGGUAACAACCUCAUGAUUAUUAUAAAAUUCUUGAAGUAGC